GAAUAUUGGACAAUGGGCGAAAGCCUGAUCCAGCCAUGCCGCGUGUGUGAAGAAGGUCUUCGGAUUGUAAAGCACUUUAAGUUGGGAGGAAGGGUUGUAGAUUAAUACUCUGCAAUUUUGACGUUACCGACAGAAUAAGCACCGGCUAACUUCGUGCCAGCAGCCGCGGUAAUACGAAGGGUGCAAGCGUUAAUCGGAAUUACUGGGCGUAAAGCGAGCGUAGGUGGCUUGAUAAGUCAGAUGUGAAAUCCCCGGGCUUAACCUGGGAACUGCAUCUGAUACUGUUAGGCUAGAAUAGGUGAGAGGAAGGUAGAAUUCCAGGUGUAGCGGUGAAAUGCGUAGAUAUAGGAAGGAACACCAGUGGCGAAGGCGACCACCUGGGCUAAUACUGACACUGAGGUGCGAAAGCGUGGGGAGCAAACAGG
rnacentral:rRNA from 1 species